CCUACGGGAGGCUGCAGUGAGGAAUAUUGGUCAAUGGGCGCGAGCCUGAACCAGCCAAGUAGCGUGAAGGAUGACUGCCCUACGGGUUGUAAACUUCUUUUAUAAAGGAAUAAAGUGAGGCACGUGUGCCUUUUUGUAUGUACUUUCUGAAUAAGGCUCGUCUAACCCCGUCCCAGCAGCCGCGGUAAUACGGAGGGUCCGAGCUGUAUCCGGAUUUAUUGGGUGUAAAGGGAGCGUAGAUGGGUUGUUAAGUCAGGUGUGAAAGUUUGCGGCUCAACCGGGGAAUUGCAAUUGAUACUGGCAGGCUGGAGUACAGUUGAGGUAAGUGGAAUUCGUGGUGUAGCGGUGAAAUGCUUAGAUACCACGAAGAACUCCGAUGGCGAAGGCAGCUUACUAAACUGCAACUGACGUUGAGGCUCGAAAGUGUGGGUAGCAAACAGGAUUAGAUACCCCUGUAGUC
rnacentral:rRNA from 1 species